UAAAAGCACAACAGCCAAUCAAUUGUCUCACGGAAUGGCUGAGCUUUUACUUUACAGAAACUACAGAUUUCGAGCAACAAACCAUAUGAUUACGUAAAAGCUGAUGAACAUAUGGCCAUACGGGGCAGCUAAGAAAGAGAAAUUGAUGCUAAAAGAUAUAUUUUACUGGGAGAAAUUGCAAUAACAAAACAACAGAAGGGGGAACUACUUGGGUAUUCCAAACGGAUGUUUUACUCGUAGCUUAAACAAGCAUGAAUUUGAGAAGUUCUUGCAUUUGAAUACUCAUAGAUUACCAGCCAAUAAUUGGGGAUAUGAAAAAAUAGAAGAAUAUGAAUUCCAAAAGAAAGAAUUGGAGCAGGAUGAAGAAGUACCAGUAAACUUGACAUCACACGAAUAGCCUUUCAACUCAGACGUAUCAACAUCGUCUUUGUUCGAUUUGAAUCUGUUUACUCUCGUCUGAAGAAUCUGGCAAUUAUCCGCCGUGGAUUCGCCUCCUGCAAACAAUCACCGAAAAAAUUUCAUUACAUUCCAAACUAAACCCUUAUCGCAACAGCAGAAGCAAAAUUUCUCAAAUCAGAGUAAGAAACCAAUCGUCGACUAAAGAAUCAUACUACCUUUGGAGUAAGGGACAAUGUGAUCAUACUCAAAGCAGAGGCAGCCCUGGCAGUUACAGAAGCGCUUACAGACGACAUUACCAGCGGCGUCCUUACGCCAACGCUCGGGAUGCCGGCCAGGGACAACAUCCGCCUUAGCCCAACAACUAGCUUUCGCUUUUGCGUCGAAAAAUCUAGGCCGUUCGUCCCCACUUCCGGAGCCACUGUCUCUUUGUCCGCCGCGGGAACGAGUCGGUGACGGCGAACUAGAAGUAGCUUCCAUCGGAGUCGGGACGCCGUCCAGCAGACAGAAACGGAAGAAACCGAAGCCAUAGGAUCAUUCCCUGCUUCUUAAAUUACGCCGAUCAUUGCCCUUCGGCCCUUCUUUUAGCGGGCCGACUCACGGCCCACAGUCCGAAUGGACUGAACGGGGAAAUUCGAGAAGGCCCAUUAAGAGCCCACUUUACGACAAUCAUGACCCAAAUAGGACUCGCGACUCAUCAAAUAUAGACUUUGGUGUAUUAAUAUAUAUAAUAAUGUUUAAAAUAUUUGUAAAUAUAAUAAAAUUUAUACAUAUCACUAAUAAUUCUUAGUUAGAAAUAUAUUUUAAGAGAUUUGG